GACUCAGCCUUGCUCUGUUGCCCAGGCUGUAGUGCAGUGGCAUGAUCUUGGCUCACUGCAACCUCUGCCUACACCUCCGGGGUUCAAGCAAUUCUGCCUCAGCCUCCUGAGUAGCUGGGAUCACAGGUCUCCUAUGUUGCCUCCAACAAUCCUCCCACCUUGGCCUCCGGAGGAGCUAGAGUACAGCCACUGCCACCAAGCCCGGAUUUGCUAUGACACUGAUGUACAAGUUAUAGAGUCCCUGCUUUCAACUGUUUUAGGGUAUAACUUAGAAGUGGAACUGCUGGGAUAAUUUUUAUGUUUACACUUUUGAGAAAACACCAAAUGGUUUUUCACAGCUGUUGCAUAUUUAGCAAUGCACAAAGGUUCCAAUUUCUCCCCAUCCUCACCAACACCUGUAAUUCCUGUUUUUUUUUUCUGAAUAGUCACCCUAAUAGGUGUGUCAUAUCCACUUUUAAGUUUCUCCUUCCUCUGAACUUUCAACA